rnacentral:lncRNA from 1 species
GGUGGGGGUGGGGGCAGCAGAUGGAAGAGCAGGGAAUCUGAGGCAGAAAUCAAGCCCAUCCUCCCACCCCUGUGGCUCUGACUUUCAGAAUUCUUUGGUGGCAGCUAACGGUUUGGAACAAAUGCAGUAUAGCUCAAGGAGCCCUGGUCUCGGGAUAAAAAGGAGUUCAAGGCCAGUUUCUGUUACGGGUCUGAGCCAAGCCACAUCACUUCGCAGCUAAACAAGCACUGGCCUCCAGAUAAACAGUAUUAAAACAAUUACAACUCAUCCAGCUCACAGAUGCUGAUUCACUGAACCCCUGUUCCACCGACCAGAAACAGCUUUGACUGGACAAGAGGCUGAAUUCAGUAACUUUCUCCUGAUGAGAAGACCACCAGCCAUGGACUGGUUCUUGCUGGUUUACAGAGACUGCACACCUGUGUACCUUCAUGUCCUGAAAAGAUCUUUUGACAUAGGGGCUAGGUAUAAUACAUUUCAUCUAUUCAUUUCAAAAUGAACAUCGGUCAUAAGUUACAUGUAUGUUUAUCUAACAUGCCUGUGUCAGGACCACUUUCUUGAAUACUCAGCUCCUCCUGUAACUUGUUGAACAUGUAUGUUUAGCCAACCUUUUCAGCAUAAAACUCCUACCCCAACCCCUCCUCCUUCCAAACGCCUGUCUCUGGUCUUGGCUAGAGGCAGGCUUCCCAGCCUGUGGGACAACCACCUUGCAGGCUGUAACCUUUUAUAAGAAUUAAAGCCUCUUCUCUUCUAAAUUUAUAAAUUAUGUUUUUUCUUAAGUUAACAAGUGGGGACAAUCAACACACUUGAAUGUUUCUUCCCAAUGAUCUGAAAAAUGCCUGUUGCUUCAA